CAGUCGCCACGGUAAUACGUAGGUGGCAAGCGUUGUCCGGAAUUAUUGGGCGUAAAGGGCUCGCAGGCGGUUUCUUAAGUCUGAUGUGAAAGCCCCCGGCUCAACCGGGGAGGGUCAUUGGAAACUGGGAAACUUGAGUGCAGAAGAGGAGAGUGGAAUUCCACGUGUAGCGGUGAAAUGCGUAGAGAUGUGGAGGAACACCAGUGGCGAAGGCGACUCUCUGGUCUGUAACUGACGCUGAGGAGCGAAAGCGUGGGGAGCGAACAGGAUUAGAUACCCCCGUAGUCCCUGUCUCUUAUAU
rnacentral:rRNA from 1 species